AGUUACUGGAUGCCGGGAGAGAUG
rnacentral:siRNA from 1 species